rnacentral:snRNA from 1 species
GUGCUUGCUUUGGCAGCACAUACAUUAAAUCAGAACGAUAUAGAGAAGAUUAGCAUGGCCCCUGCACAAGGAUGACAUGCAAAUUCGUGAAGCGUUCCAUAUUUUU